GUGCCCGUGGCGCAACGGACAGCGCGCCUGACUACGAAUCAGGAGGUUGGGGGUUCGAAUCCUCUCGGGCACA
rnacentral:tRNA from 1 species